rnacentral:rRNA from 1 species
AUUGAACGCUGGCGGCAGGCCUAACACAUGCAAGUCGAACGAGUGGCGGACAGGUGAGUAAUGUCUGGGAAACUGCCCGAUGGCGGGGGGUAACUACUGGAAACGGUAGCUAAUACCGCAUACCAUCGGAUGUUCCCAGAUGGGCUUAGCUAGUAGGUGGGGUAACGCCUCACCUAGGCGCCGAUCCCUAGCUGGUCUGCGAGGAUGACCAGCCACACUGGAACUGAGACACGGUCCAGCCUCCUACGGGAGGCAGCAGUGGGGAAUGUUGCACAAUGGGGGCAAGCCUGAUGCAGCCAUGCCGCGUGUAGGAAGAAGGCCUUCGGGUUGUAAAGUACUUUCAGCGGGGAGGCGUUACUCGCAGAAGAAGCACCGGCUAACUCCGUGCCAGCCGCCGCGGUAAUUC